AUUUCAGAAUCUGUGGUUGAGGAGGAAAAUUCCUUUUCUGAAAAUCAGCCAUUUCCUUCUCUUAAGAUGGUUUUAGAGUCUUUGCCAGAAGAUGUGGGGUUUAACAUAGAAAUAAAGUGGAUUUGCCAACAAAGGGAUGGAAUGUGGGAUGGUAACUUAUCAACAUAUUUUGACAUGAAUCUGUUUUUAGACAUAAUUUUAAAAACUGUUUUAGAAAACUCUGGGAAGAGGAGAAUAGUGUUUUCUUCAUUUGAUGCAGAUAUUUGU